UAACACCACCCUCCAUACGAUUUUCUCUAGCUGUUGUUUUCCAAUUUAUACUCAGUUUCUUUCCAAUUUGUUGUUUUCCAAUCCAAUCUCCCAUACUCGGUUUCUUAACACUCCCCUCCAUUCUCUCUAGUUUCCUAACCCUCCAUUUCUUUUAACCUUCAUCUAAUCACUACAAAUCCUAACUUCUCCAGAGCAAAGCUUCACAAACCAUUCUCUAUUCUCCAAAGUAAAGCUUCACAAACCCCAACUUCUCCAAGGCAAAGCAAAACAACAUUCCAUCGCCGAUCCUACUUGAUAACUGCCGCCAAUAAGCACUUUACACCACCUUCAUUUUGACCUAAUUACUCCGGGACAAAUGGAGAUCCUAAGGUUGGAGGAAAUCGCGGAAGAGACUUUUAAAGUUACUCGGAACCGAUCCCCAAUACUCACCAAGGUAAAUGGAGGAUUUUUGAGAAGGGAGAUCACGUAGGAAGCUUUUGUGUUUAUU